rnacentral:rRNA from 1 species
AUUGAACGCUGGCGGCAGGCCUAACACAUGCAAGUCGAGCGAGCGGCGGACGGGUGAGUAAUGCCUGGGAAUCGCACAGUCGAGGGUGAUAACAGUUGGCAACGACUGCUACUAGCGCAUACGACUCGAAUGCUCAGGUGGGAGUAGCUAGUUGGUGAGGUAAUGGCUCACAAUGGCGACGAUCCCUAGCUGGUCUGAGAGGAUGGUCGGCCACACUGGAACUGAGACACGGUCCAGACUCCUACGGGAGGCAGCAGUGGGGAAUAUUGCACAAUGGGGGAAACCCUGAUGCAGCCAUGCCGCGUGAGUGAAGAAGGCCUUCGGGUUGUAAAGCACUGUCAGCGAGGAGGCGUUACUCGAAGAAGAAGCACCGGCUAACUCCGUGCCAGCAGCCGCGGUAAUAC